GCUGGUUCUCCCCGAAAGCUAUUUAGGUAGCGCCUCGUGAAUUCAUCUCCGGGGGUAGAGCACUGUUUCGGCAAGGGGGUCAUCCCGACUUACCAACCCGAUGCAAACUGCGAAUACCGGAGAAUGUUAUCACGGGAGACACACGGCGGGUGCUAACGUCCGUCGUGAAGAGGGAAACAACCCAGACCGCCAGCUAAGGUCCCAAAGUCAUGGUUAAGUGGGAAACGAUGUGGGAAGGCCCAGACAGCCAGGAUGUUGGCUUAGAAGCAGCCAUCAUUUAAAGAAAGCGUAAUAGCUCACUGGUCGAGUCGGCCUGCGCGGAAGAUGUAACGGGGCUAAACCAUGCACCGAAGCUGCGGCAGCGACGCUGAUGCGUUGUUGGGUAGGGGAGCGUUCUGUAAGCCUGUGAAGGUGUGCUGUGAGGCAUGCUGGAGGUAUCAGAAGUGCGAAUGCUGACAUAAGUAACGAUAAAGCGGGUGAAAAGCCCGCUCGCCGGAAGACCAAGGGUUCCUGUCCAACGUUAAUCGGGGCAGGGUGAGUCGACCCCUAAGGCGAGGCCGAAAGGCGUAGUCGAUGGGAAACAGGUUAAUAUUCCUGUACUUGGUGUUACUGCGAAGGGGGGACGGAGAAGGCUAUGUUGGCCGGGCGACGGUUGUCCCGGUUUAAGCGUGUAGGCUGGUUUUCCAGGCAAAUCCGGAAAAUCAAGGCUGAGGCGUGAUGACGAGGCACUACGGUGCUGAAGCAACAAAUGCCCUGCUUCCAGGAAAAGCCUCUAAGCAUCAGGUAACAUCAAAUCGUACCCCAAACCGACACAGGUGGUCAGGUAGAGAAUACCAAGGCGCUUGAGAGAACUCGGGUGAAGGAACUAGGCAAAAUGGUGCCGUAACUUCGGGAGAAGGCACGCUGAUAUGUAGGUGAAGUCCCUCGCGGAUGGAGCUGAAAUCAGUCGAAGAUACCAGCUGGCUGCAACUGUUUAUUAAAAACACAGCACUGUGCAAACACGAAAGUGGACGUAUACGGUGUGACGCCUGCCCGGUGCCGGAAGGUUAAUUGAUGGGGUCAGCGCAAGCGAAGCUCUUGAUCGAAGCCCCGGUAAACGGCGGCCGUAACUAUAACGGUCCUAAGGUAGCGAAAUUCCUUGUCGGGUAAGUUCCGACCUGCACGAAUGGCGUAAUGAUGGCCAGGCUGUCUCCACCCGAGACUCAGUGAAAUUGAACUCGCUGUGAAGAUGCAGUGUACCCGCGGCAAGACGGAAAGACCCCGUGAACCUUUACUAUAGCUUGACACUGAACAUUGAGCCUUGAUGUGUAGGAUAGGUGGGAGGCUUUGAAGUGUGGACGCCAGUCUGCAUGGAGCCGACCUUGAAAUACCACCCUUUAAUGUUUGAUGUUCUAACGUUGACCCGUAAUCCGGGUUGCGGACAGUGUCUGG
rnacentral:rRNA from 1 species